ACACAGCUCUGUCGUUGAGCGUGUUCUUGCAUUGUUUGUUCUGCCCACCUGGUAAUGUCACCUUUGCGGUGGAAAGUAACUACUUUGUCAAUGGGACGCUGGAUAUGCUGAUGAUGAGACUUCCUCUCCGGGGGUGUCGGAAUGAACUUUGGGCCUCAGUACUCAGGAUCGUGGCUUGGGAAGGACAUCUGCCAAUGGAUUUGGAGGUUUUGCAAAGACAGCGUUGGUGGUAUCUCUCUAGUCUUUGAGGUGGCUACUGUUAGUAGAUCAGAAACGUGGAGGAGAAUAGGAAUAUAUGUGUAAAACAAGAUGACAGUGUACAGUGACUCUGCCAGCCAAACUACAGAGGACUGGGCAUUUCCUCGGUCAGAAUCAGAAUCAGGUUUAUUACCACCGACAUAUGUCACGAAAUUUUUUUGUGGCAGCGGGUUUCAUUUGUUUUCCAAAUUGUGUAACGCUUCUGGCUUGGUCAUUCUCAUCUUUGAGAGGGCCAGCACAUUCAAGAUCCGAAAUGGCACAUUUGUCACUCACAGACUCAGUUUCAGGGUCAUCAUUUCCUCAAAGCAAAAUUGAAGAUAUAGGAAACCGGAAAUUAAAAUGGGAUUCACUCAACAAGUCAGAUUCGCUCUUUACCGUCAGUUGCAUCCUUCCUGUUCCCGUUCAGUGCUUGAGAACUUGCCAGAGGACCUCAAUUGUUGUACAUGUUCGAUUUUGCCAAAAUGUCUGGCGUGUUUCACCUGCUAGGAAUUUGCUGAAGCUUCAGAUAAAUGACGUAGUUCAUGAAGACUCAUAAAGAAUUGUCAUAAUUGCUGUCUGUUAAGCUUAACUAUAACACCUAUCCUGCUGUUAUAAGGCUCUUGAAUGUACCUCUUGUACAUUUAAAGAUGAGCUCUUGACCUGAUGAGAGGUCUUGGCCUGAAACAGCUACUCUUUAUUCCUGUCCAUAGAUGCUGCCCAACCUACAGAGCUUCUGCAGCAUUUUAUGUGUGUUACUCUUGUCCACACUAUUGACUUCAUCCUGGCCCUUGCACCUUAUUGUCUACCUGCAGGACACUUUCUCUGUAACUGUAACACCUGAGGUAGUACAACUUCUCCCUUGUACUACCUCAAAGUUCAACCCAAAUUUAUUAUCCGAUGCAUACUGUGUAUGUCACCAUGUACCUGUUUUGAAAUGAUCUGUACGGAUUGCUCAUGAAAUUAAGUCUUUCACAGGAUCUCAGCAUAUGUGACAGUAAUAAGGCAAUACAGUGUGAUUAGUUAUUUGUUGGGGUAAAACACUGACCUCAGGAACUUGCAAUAAACGUACAACAGAGUACUGGAUCUGCAUAAUAGUCUGCUUCUGAAAUUUGAUUAGUUCUAAGCUAAAAUUUCAAAUUAAAUUUAUUAUCAAGAUAUGUUCUGUGCACGUCAGCAUAUGUCAUCUUGAGAUUCAUUUUCUUGCAGGCUCUCACAGUAGGACAAAGAAAUACAGCAGAAUCAAUGAAAAACUACACAAAGACUGACAAACUACCAACGUGAAAAAUAUAAGCUGUGCAAAUUCAAUAAUAAUACUAAUAAUAAUAUUAAUAAAUUAAUAACAAAAUACUGAGAAUAUGAGUUGUAGAGUCCUUAAGUAUACAUAUAUAUUUGUCUGGUUGUGUUUUUACUAAUAUUCUAUUGUGUCCAUAUAUGUGACGACUGAGCCUCUAAGCCAUGGUAUCACCUAGCAGAUGUUGGGCAUUGGGUUUGGUUGAGAGUUGAUCUUGGUGACUGGAAGGUUUGAACUAUAUACGUGCAUAUUCUGCGUCACUGUAUUUUACUGAUAUUCUAUAUGGGUUUGUUGACUUGUAUGUGUGAGGACCGGGCAUCAAGCUCCAGUGUCUCGCGGUGGGGUGGGGGGGUUGUUGGGACUCCUUUAUUCUGUGAAUAUGCUCUUGUGUCUGACUGUUGGUAAUGUGUUUUAGCACCUUGACCCCGAGGUAAUGCUGUCUCAUUUGGCUGAAUUCAUGAGUCUUGUGUAUGGUUGAAUGACAAUUAAAUUUGAAUUGAAUUGAAAGUGAGUCCAUAGGUUGUGAAAUCAGUGAAAUUAUCUACACUGGUUCAGGAGCCUGAUGGUUGUAGGGUAAUAACUGUUCCAGAAUCUGGUGGCAUGGAACCUAAGGCCCCUGUACCUCCUGCACGAUGGCAGUAGUGAGAAGGGACUGGGGUGUCCUUGAUGAUGGAUGCUGCUUUUCUGUGGCAGCAGUCCUUGUAGAUGUGCUCAGUGACGGGACUGCAAUGAGGCAGGGGUUCCCAACCUGGGGUCCUUGCUUAAUGGUAUCGGUCCAUGGCAUAAAAAAUGUUGGGAACCCCUGCUUUAGAAUCAGUAGAAGUGAAUUUCAAGAGUGGAAUACCAUUCAGAAUUAUAAGUAUAAUGUGAGUUCUUAGCAUAUUGUGUAUUGUGCCCUGGUCAAGCUCUUCUGGUAGAGUUAUAAUACCUGCAUCUAGCCAACAAAGUGGAAAAUUGCCAAGGUAUCCACAAUAAGCAGAAGUGCUAUUAUUUCCCAUCCCCUAUUAGUUCAUUCUUAACCAUCAUUAAAGAGAUGAAAGAUGCUGUUGGUUGUACGAUCAGGCAGCUCUCAAUCAUCAAUAACCAAUUCACCAAAGCAAGUUCUGAGUUGAGAACAUCAUUCCCCAGCUAUGAUGCACACAUGGACCAAAGAGCUGGAUUCUGGAGAUGAGGGGAGAAUGAAUGCCCUUGACACAAGGCAGCGUUUAACUGAGCUUGGCAUCAAGGUGCCUUCCUAAGAGUGAAGCCGAGGGAUAUCAAAGGGAAAGCAUUAGUUGCUCGAAGGAAGAAUGACUGUGUGCUGCUGGAGGUCCAUCACCACAUCAUUACAGGAAACUUUUAGGGCAGUGUGCUAGGCCCAACCAUCCUCAGCUAUUUCAUCAAUGAUCUUUCUUCUAUCAUUCAGGUCAGAAAGGAGGAUUUUGCUAUUUUCAGUUCCAUUCACAACUCCUUGGCAAAUGCCUACAUGCAGUGAGACCUAAGCAAUUUUCUGGCCUUUGGAAGAGGCAAGUGAUUAUGAAUAUUUCCAACCAGAGAGGAUUGAACCAGCUACAAUUGUCAUUCAGUGCUAUUAUCAUCAUGGAGUCUCCCAUCAUCCAUAUCCUGGAGGGCACCAUUGACCUGAAUCUCAACUGGGCCCAGCCACAUAAAUGAUCCUGGAGACAAGAGCAUGCCAAAAGCUGAGUACCCUCACAAAUCACUCACCUCCUGAACUCUCAAGGCUUUUCUACUACUUACAUGCCACAAGUCUGAAGCAUGAUUAAAUACUCUCUACAUGCUAUAUAUGUUGAGCUGCAGCACAUAUCAAGAAGCUCCACUCUGUGCAGGUAACCCAAGGUACACUCCAUAAAUUACUGUGGAAUUUCAUUCCUUUUUCCACUGGUACUUCUACAAACUGCACAGAUGUACUGAUAACACCUCUCAAAUGCAUGACUUCUACAAUCAAGGACCAAAGCAACACUCAUGUGGAAGCAACCCCACCUUCAUAUUUCCAUUCCUAUUUCCUACCAUUCUGACUUUGAAAUACAUCAUGCACCCAACCCCAUACCCAGCAGCACUGCAGUAGCACUCUCAGAAGAAUUACAGUUUCAAGAAGAUGGCUCACAACCAUCUUCUCAAGUGCAGUUGAGGUUCGGCAACAAAUGCUGAGUUUGACGGCUAUGUCCAGGCCUUGAAAAUUAAAUUUAAACACUGACUGAGGACAAUUUUCUGUCUUUCCUUUUUUAGAAUAGUCUGUUCAAGAGCAAACCCACAAACUGUGCAAAGCACAGAUGCAUUCAGAAAAUCCUUGUCAUAAAUUCUCGGUUCAAUUGCUGUUUGAAUUUUCAUUGGCUCCUAGAUAUAAAAUUGGAAGUGAAAGAAAUGCAUAUGUAUUAGAUGUCAGUCUUUCUGAUCAAAUAGGAAUAGGCUAAUCCCUGCACUAUCCCUUAUGUUACUAAAUUAGUUUGAAAGUAGCUUCUGAGAAAGCUAAAUAUUAAACCAAGUUCCCUUUUUCAAGGCAGGGCCAAAAAGGUACUUGCUUUUAUAUAAAGCCUUCCCUUAAAGGUGAUUGAGGUAUUUUGUAAAUAUAAUUGCUGGUGUACUGUGAUGAAGAGCCGAUAAUCUGUUUUAAUGGCAUUUGUUGAAAGAUAGAAAUAGCACACCUGGACUUUGAAAUUGUACCACGAGAUCUUUUAAGUCCACUUGUGAAGGCAGAUGGGGUCUAGGUUUGCUGUCUUUGAAUCCCAGAGCUCCCAAAAAGGUUAUAGCAUGAGAGGAGGCUAUUUGCCCAUUAGGUUGUAUGUGAGAGCAAAAAGAGAACUGGGUUCACAGUAAAGCCCUACUGGGUUUACCACACCAAACAUUCUGGGAAAAAUAAAUGCAACCCAGAGCAAUUUCGUAGGAGGUUUAGCACACUAAGUAUUCUGGGAAAUUUAAAUUUAUACACCAAUUGAAGUCUUCUGGCAGAUUGUCGAGCAUUAAAUGAUUUUAAAGCAGUGUAUUUUGGAUCCGAAGUACCUGUUGUGUUGAACUAUUUUCCUCAGGCAGCUUACGGUUCUUUUCCCAAUCAUGUUCAUUCAGCGUGCUAUCGUUCUUGUGCUAAUGGGAACAGUUUUCACAAGCUAUUUUGUACUCAUUUUUUUCCACUGGCUGACAUUUGUAUUUCGAACAUGGUCAGAAGUUGGAGAUAUCACUCCUCCAUUGGGGAUUUCUGAAUAAUUUAAUAUAAUACUGUGCAAAAGUCUUAGGCAUAUAUAUAUAUAUAUAUAUAUAUAUAUAAACUGGGGUGCCUGAGACCUUUACACACUGUUGUAUAUUGGUUAAAAUAGGAAGUGGUUAGAAAAUAGAAAUAAGACUACUUAGUUUUGUAUUAGCUCAGUAGUAGACGAGGGGUGAUUGAUAAGUUCAUGGCCUGAGUUAGAAUGAGUCAAUUUUUGAAAACCUAGCACUUUUAUUUUUCAACAUAGCCCCCUCCUACAUUUACACACUUAGUCCAGCAGUUGUGGAGCAUACGGAUCUUGGACCUCCAGGAAGUGUCCACAGCAGGGGUGAUUGAUAAUUUCGUGGCCUAAGGUAGAAGGAGAUGAGUUAUAUAGCUCUCGUUACAUGUACAUGCAAUUCAGCUCUUUGAGUGAUCAUGCAAAAAGUUUGAAGUUAAUAACUCAUCAGGGUGAUAAGUUUGUGGCCUAAGGUAAAAGGAGAUGAGUUACUAACUUCAAACUUUCUGCUCCAUCAUCAAGAAACUUCAGCAUCCAGGCCAUGCUCUCUUCUCGCUGCUGCCAUUAGGAAAGAGGUACAGGACCCUCAGGAUCCACACCACCAGGUUCAGGAACAGUUAUUAAUCCUCAACUAUCAGGGUAUUGAACCAGAGGGGAUAACUUCACUCAAAUUCACUCGCCUCAUCACUGAACUAUUCCCUCAACCUAUCGACUCACUUUCAAGGACUCUUCAUCUCAUGCUAUUGAUACUUCUUGCUUAUUUAUUUAUUAUUAUUACUUUUUUCUCUUUCUUCCUUAUAUUUGCACAACAUGUUGACUUUUGCAUAUUGGUUAUUGUCCAUCUUUGUGUGUAGUUUUUGAUUGACUAUUGUGUUUCUUUGUAUUUUCUGUGAAUGUUUGCAAGAAAAUGAAUCUCAGGGUUGUGUAUGGUGACAUAUAUGUAGAUUGAUAAUAAAUUUACUUUGAACUUUGAAUUUUGAAUAGUGCCACAAUGACCUCUAACUCAACAGCAGCAACAGACUGAUUAUUGACCUAGCAGAAGAAGCUGGAGGUCUAUGAACCAGUCCUCAUUAGGGGAUCAAAGGUGGAGAGGGUCAGUAACUUAAAAAUGCCUUGGUGUUAUCAUAUCAGAAGACCUGCCCUGGGACCAGCAUAUAAGUGACAUCACAAAGAACGCAUGACAGUGCCUCUACCUUCUUUGAAGUUUGCCUAGAUUUGUCAUGCCACCUGAAACUUUGACUAACUUCUAUAGCUAUUCAGUGGAAAGUAUCCUAACUGGCUGCAUCACAACCUGGUAUGGAAACACUGCUGUCCUGGAAUGGAAAAGACUACAGGAAGAGGUGGAUACAGCCCACUCCAAAACAGGUGAAGCACAUUUACAUGGAGCAUUGCCACAAGAAAGCAGCAUCCAUUGUCAAGGACACCCUCUAUCCAGCCCAUGUACUCCUCUCACUACUAAAACCAGGCAGGUGGUACUGGAGCCUUUGGUCCCACACUACCAGGUCCAGGAACAUCUAUUACCCUACAAACAUGAGACUCCUGAACUUCACUCACCCAGUUCUGAACUGAUUCCACAACCUGGAGCCUCACUUUUAAGAACUCUACAAUUCAUGUUUUCAGUAUUUUUUUUUAUUUGCAAAAUCUAUCUUCUUUUGCACAUCGGUUGUCAGUCUUUGAGCAUAGUUUUCAUAAAUUCCAUUGUAUUUCUUUAUUUUCCUGUAAAUGCUCAAAGAAAAUGAAUCUCAAGUUAAUAUGGUAACAUGUACAUAUUUAUAAUAAAUAUACUUUGGCUGAGAUGAAACUGAGGGAGGUUUUGGUUCUGAUUUUACUGUGAUUCAAUCAACAUUCACUGCCAUUACACAGUGAAAAAGAUAGCAACUUAAGUCAUUUGUAAUUCAAGAUGAAUAUUUUCUCAGAUGGUAAUAAUUAAUGUAGCCCUUCUCAUGGUGGCAUUGUUUGCAACCUUCUACAAUGGAAUUGUGUGAAAUAAACAUGUGAAUUACUGUGAGCUUGUAGUAUUCAUAAGCUAGCUCUACUGUAAGAUAGCUGGAAAAUUCUAUAAUCUAUGACAUGCACCAGAAAUGAAUUCAUUAUCACUUAUCUGAACUUACUAAAAAUAAUUUUGUUCUCAUCUUGGAAUUUUUUAACAUAUUUAGAAGUAAUUUUACUUUUUAAAGAUAUCAUUCUUACAAAAGAUUAUUUUCAAUUGCUCAGAUUAUAAAUCGAAAAAGUGUUCCUGUCUAUGUUUGGUGCACUGAAAAAGAUUAAACAAAAAUUUGGUUAAAAGUUGUCCUUUUUCCUUCUGAUGUGAAAAUUUUAAAGCCAACUUGACGACACUAUGUUAUACAGGGAUCCCAAUGAAUUAAAUGAUAGCAGUGUACAUCAACAAAAGAACAUUUUCACUACAGAGAUGAAUGGAUCCCCUAUCAUUCUAGCUGAGAAAGUCGUUCCUCAAUUCUUCUCUAACACUUCCAUUGCUCUAAAACUGAAUCCUCCAAAUUUACGACCUCUGCAAAGAAAAGUUUCAUGUUCGCAUAACUUUAUAUACCAUGACUACAGCCCCCAUGUUCCAAAGCAUGUUAGCCCAGCCUAGAAUCUCUUUUCAUAACUAAAAUUCUCCUGCUGUGACAGCAUACUCAUCAAUCACGUCCAUGUUGUAAUAUGGUGACUGGCGAUGAACAUGUAGAAAUAUCUCAAACAUCACAGCGAUGAGAAAUAUGUACAACAAAAGAUUGCCUGUAGUCUUGCUUCCAGCUAGAACAGUUCUAACGAUUUGGAAUUAGGGAAACAACACACCCACUCUUUGCUUCUGAGAAGCUGCUUGUCAGUAAAGAGUUGAUUUAAAUGUCAAUCAGCAUCUUUUCAGUGGAACACAGAGAAAAAUGUGAGGAACUCGGGGGGUCAGGCAGUAUUGAGUGGUGGGGGUGGGGGGGGGAAGGAAUGAUUGAGACCCUUCAUCU